rnacentral:tRNA from 1 species
GGGGAUUUAGCUCAGUGGUAGAGCACUUGCCUAGCAAGCGCAAGGCCCUGGGUUCGGUCCCCAGCUCUGGAAAAAAAAAAAAAGAGCACUUGCUGCUCGUGUGGAGAGCCUGGGUUAAAUUCUCAGCACUCCCA